rnacentral:tRNA from 1 species
GCUGCGAUGGCCGAGUGGUUAAGGCGUUGGACUCGAAAUCCAAAAGGAUAUUCACGCGCAGGUUCGAAUCCUGUUCGUAGCG